GUGAACGUUACCAAACUGUUGCCUCGGCGGGAUCUCUGCCCCGGGUGCGUCGCAGCCCCGGACCAAGGCGCCCGCCGGAGGACCAACCAAAACUCUUAUUGUAUACCCCCUCGCGGGUUUUUUUAUAAUCUGAGCCUUCUCGGCGCCUCUCGUAGGCGUUUCGAAAAUGAAUCAAAACUUUCAACAACGGAUCUCUUGGUUCUGGCAUCGAUGAAGAACGCAGCGAAAUGCGAUAAGUAAUGUGAAUUGCAGAAUUCAGUGAAUCAUCGAAUCUUUGAACGCACAUUGCGCCCGCCAGUAUUCUGGCGGGCAUGCCUGUCCGAGCGUCAUUUCAACCCUCGAACCCCUCCGGGGGGUCGGCGUUGGGGAUCGGCCCUGCCUUGGCGGUGGCCGUCUCCGAAAUACAGUGGCGGUCUCGCCGCAGCCUCUCCUGCGCAGUAGUUUGCACACUCGCAUCGGGAGCGCGGCGCGUCCACAGCCGUUAAACACCCAACUUCUGAAAUGUUGACCUCGGAUCAGGUAGGAAUACCCGCUGAACUUAAGCAUAUCAAUAAGCGGAGGAAAAGAAACCAACAGGGAUUGCCCCAGUAACGGCGAGUGAAGCGGCAACAGCUCAAAUUUGAAAUCUGGUCCCUAGGGCCCGAGUUGUAAUUUGUAGAGGAUGCUUUUGGUGAGGUGCCGCCCGAGUUCCCUGGAACGGGACGCCACAGAGGGUGAGAGCCCCGUCUGGCUGGCCGCCGAGCCUCUGUAAAGCUCCUUCGACGAGUCGAGUAGUUUGGGAAUGCUGCUCAAAAUGGGAGGUAUAUGUCUUCUAAAGCUAAAUAUUGGCCAGAGACCGAUAGCGCACAAGUAGAGUGAUCGAAAGAUGAAAAGCACCUUGAAAAGAGGGUUAAAUAGUACGUGAAAUUGUUGAAAGGGAAGCGCUUGUGACCAGACUUGGGCGCGGCGGAUCAUCCGGGGUUCUCUCCGGUGCACUUCGCCGCGUCUAGGCCAGCAUCAGUUCGUCCCGGGGGGAAAAAGGUUUCGGGAACGUGGUCCUCCCCGGGAGUGUUAUAGCCCGUUGCUAAUACCCUGCGGUGGACUGAGGACCGCCACUGCAG
rnacentral:sRNA from 1 species